CUGAAUCUGAACCAAACUGUUUCUAAAUGGAGAUGAUGAUGUUAAAAUGGAACAAGCAGAGCAGAAGUGAUUGAUGAUCUAACAGACAUUGACAUCAGGCUACCAAUGCCUAGUCUUUCUGUGGGAGAUAGAAGCGGCCUGGUUAUGAGAAUGCUGGAGCCAAUCGAUUGCUUUGGUUAGGACCAGAGCAAUCAUGUCAUUCCUCCUCUAUCUUGAUUCUGACCACUACAUAAUCUACAACUCCAUGGCUCUGAGGUUUGAACCAAAUGAUCGUUAUGCAAACCACAACACUUUCUUCUUUGAUGCAUGUUAGUAUGAACUAGUCUGUAAGUCUUGUCUCUGCAGGGAAGAGCCACUAUAUUGGUGGGAAGGAAGCUAUAUAUAGGGUGUAUUUGGCGGUAAUGUCUCCUGUUGCAGAGCCCACCCUUGUUUAGAGCCAUUAUAUUGGUGGGAAGGAAGCUACUUUUCUUUGAACAAAUCUCCAAAAAUUUCAGACAAAGAUAAAGCCGGAAACAAGAAAGUUGUUGCAGAUAAAAUCUAACAAAAGAAAGAAAGAACAAUAUAGAAACGUAACUCUUCUUCUCCUUGUAAUUUGCUCACAACAAAACCUCUUCUUCUUCACAGCCACUUAAAGUGGCUUUCCACUUGUCUUGAUAUCAUUUCUGAUUGCUCCUUGAAUCAUCUUAACGAUCAAAUUCUGA